rnacentral:rRNA from 1 species
CAGCAGCAGCCGCGGGAAAACAGAGGGUGCGAGCGUUAAUCGGAUUUACUGGGCGUAAAGCGUGCGUAGGCGGCUUCUUAAGUCGGAUGUGAAAUCCCUGAGCUUAACUUAGGAAUUGCAUUCGAUACUGGGAAGCUAGAGUAUGGGAGAGGAUGGUAGAAUUCCAGGUGUAGCGGUGAAAUGCGUAGAGAUCUGGAGGAAUACCGAUGGCGAAGGCAGCCAUCUGGCCUAAUACUGACGCUGAGGUACGAAAGCAUGGGGAGCAAACAGGAUUAGAUACCCCAGUAGUCCCUGUCUCUUAUAC